UCAGCAUCAAUGAUGAUACACUUCAUAUGUUAUCCUUGCACUUUGAUGUUCAGUGAAGAAACUCAUGGGGAAUGAUCUUCUGAGAUGCUG